rnacentral:rRNA from 1 species
AUAUCAUUAAGCGGAGGAAAAGAAACUAACAAGGAUUCCCCUAGUAACGGCGAGUGAAGAGGGAAGAGCUCAAAUUUGAAAGCUGGUACCUUCGGUAUCCGCGUUGUAACCUCGAGACACGUUUUCCGUGCGGCGCUAUGGACAAGUUCCUUGGAACAGGACAUCGUAGAGGGUGAAAAUCCCGUACUUGCCAUGGAUGUACCGUGCUUUGCGAUACGUGCUCUAAGAGUCGAGUUGUUUGGGAUUGCAGCUCAAAAUGGGUGGUAGACUCCAUCUAAAGCUAAAUAUCGGGGAGAGACCGAUAGCGAACAAGUACCGUGAGGGAAAGAUGAAAAGCACUUUGGAAAGAGAGUUAAAAGUACGUGAAAUUGUCGAAAGGGAAGCGCUUGAAGUCAGCCAUGCCGCUCAGGACUCAGCCUGGCUUUUGCUUGGUGUAUUUCCUGGGUAGCAAGUCAGCAUUGGUUUGGAUCGUCGGAGAAGCAUAGUCGGAAUGUGGCGCCCUCGGGCGUGUUAUAGCCUUCUAUUGGAUACGACGAUCUAGACCAAGGAACGCAGCGCGCCUUAUGGCGGGUCUUCGGACACCUUCGCGCUUAGGAUGCUGGCGUAAUGGCUUUAAGUGGC